GAGCACAGGUUUACCUGUGUGACUGCGUACCUUUUGUAUAAUGGGUCAGCGACUUAUAUUCUGUAGCAAGGUUAACCGUAUAGGGGAGCCGAAGGGAAACCGAGUCUUAACCGGGCGUUAAGUUGCAGGGUAUAGACCCGAAACCCGGUGAUCUAGCCAUGGGCAGGUUGAAGGUUGGGUAACACUAACUGGAGGACCGAACCGACUAAUGUUGAAAAAUUAGCGGAUGACCUGUGGCUGGGGGUGAAAGGCCAAUCAAACCGGGAGAUAGCUGGUUCUCCCCGAAAGCUAUUUAGGUAGCGCCUCGUGAAUUCAUCUCCGGGGGUAGAGCACUGUUUCGGCUAGGGGGCCAUCCCGGCUUACCAACCCGAUGCAAACUGCGAAUACCGGAGAAUGUUAUCACGGGAGACACACGGCGGGUGCUAACGUCCGUCGUGAAGAGGGAAACAACCCAGACCGCCAGCUAAGGUCCCAAAGUCAUGGUUAAGUGGGAAACGAUGUGGGAAGGCCCAGACAGCCAGGAUGUUGGCUUAGAAGCAGCCAUCAUUUAAAGAAAGCGUAAUAGCUCACUGGUCGAGUCGGCCUGCGCGGAAGAUGUAACGGGGCUAAACCAUGCACCGAAGCUGCGGCAGCGAACGUAUCACUUAAAGCGAUUCAGCGGGUUACGAUUGACGGAGCGAAGCGACGUCAAAGCGUAUACAAAGUCGAGUCGGUUUAAGGAU
rnacentral:rRNA from 1 species